rnacentral:rRNA from 1 species
AUUGAACGCUGGCGGCAUGCCUAACACAUGCAAGUCGAACGAGUGGCGGACGGGUGAUUAAUGUCUGGGCAACUGCCCGAUGGAGGGGGACACCUACUGGAAACUGUUGCUAAUACCGCAUAACAUCGGAGCUGCCUAGAUGGGAGUAGCUAGUGGGUGGGGUAAAGGCUCACCGAGGCGACGAUCCCUAGUUGGACUGAGAGGAUGACCAGCCACACGGGGACUGAGACACGGACCAGACUCCUACGGGAGGCAGCAGUGGGGAAUAUUGGACAAUGGGCGCAAGCCUGAUGCAGCCAAGCCGGGUGUACGAGGAAGGCCUUCGGGUUGUAAAGUACUUUCCGCUGGGAAGCGGUACCCGCAGAAGAAGCACCGGCUAACUCCGUGCCAGCAGCCGCGGUAAUAC